CCUACGGGAGGCAGCAGUGGGGAAUAUUGCACAAUGGGGGAAACCCUGAUGCAGCGACGCCGCGUGAGCGAGGAAGUAUUUCGGUAUGUAAAGCUCUAUCAGCAGGGACGAAAAAAGACGGUACCUGACUAAGAAGCCCCGGCUAACUACGUGCCAGCAGCCGCGGUAAUACGUAGGGGGCAAGCGUUAUCCGGAUUUACUGGGUGUAAAGGGAGCGCAGGCGGCGCGUUAAGCCUGGUGUGAAAGCCCGCGGCCCAACCGCGGGACUGCAUUGGGAACUGGCGCGCUGGAGUGCCGGAGGGGUAGGCGGAAUUCCUAGUGUAGCGGUGAAAUGCGUAGAUAUUAGGAGGAACACCAGUGGCGAAGGCGGCCUACUGGACGGUGACUGACGCUGAGGCUCGAAAGCGUGGGGAGCAAACAGGAUUAGAUACCCGGGUAGUC
rnacentral:rRNA from 1 species